ACGGAGGGUGCAAGCGUUGUCCGGAAUCAUUGGGCGUAAAGCGUUCGUAGGCGGCAUAUCAAGUCUGGUGUUAAAGCCCGGAGCUCAACUCCGGAUCGGCACUGGAUACUGGUAAGCUAGAAUGAGGUAGAGGUAAUGGGAAUUCCUGGUGUAGCGGUGAAAUGCGUAGAUAUCAGGAGGAACACCGGUGGCGUAAGCGCAUUACUGGGCCUUUAUUGACGCUGAGGAACGAAAGCCGGGGGAGCAAAUGG
rnacentral:rRNA from 1 species